GAGGGAGAGAUCAUCUUAGCAGUUACCAUAGGAAAAGAACCCCCUCAGUCAACUAUACAGCUCAUCUUUCUGGUUGUUAAAAUAUUGUUAGCUUAUAAUGUUUUUCUUGGCCGACCUGGACUCAAUGCCCUCAAGGCUGUAGUUCCACUUAUCAUUUGUUAGUCCGAUUUCCAAAAAAGGAUGGAGUUGGAGAGAUGUGAGG
rnacentral:lncRNA from 1 species